rnacentral:rRNA from 1 species
CAAUAGCGUAUAUUUAAGUUGUUGUAGUUAAAAAGCUCGUAGUUGGAUUUCGGGUGGGACGCAGCGGUCUCGCAUUGCGUUUGUACUGCUGCAGCCCUCCUUCUUGCCGGGGGCGGCCUCUCGGACUUCACUGUCUGGGGGUCAGAAUCGGCGAUGUUACUUUGAGUAAAUUAGAGUGUUCAAAGCAAGCUUACGCUCUGAAUAUAAUAGCAUGGGAUAACACGACAGGACUCUGGCCUAUCGUGUUGGUCUAUAGGACCAGAGUAAUGAUUAAGAGGGACAGUCGGGGGCAUUCGUAUUCCGUUGUCAGAGGUGAAAUUCUUGGAUUUACGGAAGACGAACAUCUGCGAAAGCAUUUGCCAAGGAUGUUUUCAUUGA